AGAAAAGAAGGCAGAGCACCAGGUGGCAAGAUCUGGGUGUGGCGAAAACUGCCUAGAGGGAUAGAAGCCAUCUAAGCCCCAGGCCAUCUCAGCAAGGCUGCCAACAGGCUGCUGACACUGGACAUUCUUCAACCUCUGGUGAUUCCGAAGCUGUGAAAGCUCAAGGGACAGCUGGGAGAGUGCACUGUGCCUACGAAGGGGCUGCUGGUCAUUUCUUGGGCCUGUUAGGAUUUCUCAAGAAAAAGGCUGGUAGGCAUCUUCAAACCUCAGUUCCCUCUGCAGAGGUAAAAGAGGAAGCAAAGAUACGGUUCUAAGGUUGCAGCCCACACUGUAAAGUGAACAUGUGGUGACUGGAUCCGGGUUCCUACUAAGAACAUGGCAAGGACCUUUGACUCCCCACUGUAGGAUAGAGAUAGGUGGAUGGUGCCUAGGUCCACAGCUGAUGAGGCUGGAUCGCCCAGCUCCAACUAAACCCUCUUUUGUAUAUGCAAGGACUAGGAAAAAGACCCUCAUGAGAAGAGUCUAGCAGGAAGAAAAUGGAAAGGUCAUCUCUAUCCAAAUCUCAAGAGCUAUGAUUGGCUGAGCUAGCCCUGGGGUGAUCCGUGAAAUGAAGGGAAACCUGACUCCAAUAACUGCUGCCAGGAGAAGCCUUGGGGGUGGAAGCCAAGCGUUCAAAUAAGAGGCGAAGUUGAGCAAGCAUGGCAGUCCUCCAGCAUUGGAAGGGACCAGAUGCACCUGCCCAGGUACUGAAGCAUGACGGGACUCGGGCAGGCCUGACCCCAACCGGAGAGGAGGGACAGGAGGGCAGAGCUAAGGCCUUGUCUGGAAAAGCUGGCCAGGAUCUCAACCCUUUUCUAACUUGAGCGUGAGCAUCCUGCCUCAGGAUCUCAAGAAUGAGGCUAGAGACCCUGCACUUACACACAUAACUCCUAUUUGUCCCCUAAUACACAAACAGUGUCUUUACAGAGGUAAAAGGCAGAAUGACAGAAGUCAUGUAAGUCUGGAGUGCUCAGUCACUAAGAUCAAUGGCCACUGGCCUGGGCUACCCAGCAAGAUCCUGUGUCGAAAAUAAAAAUAAGCCCCUGGGGCUGGUGAGAUGGCUCAGUGGAUAAGAGCACUGACUGUUCUUCCGAAGGUCCUGAGUUCAAAUCCCCAGCAACCACAUGGUGGCUCACAACCACCCAUAAUGAGAUCUGAUGCCUUCUUCUGGUGCGUCUGAAGACAACUACAGUGUACUUAUGUAUAAUAAUAAAUAAAUCUUAAAAAAAAA
rnacentral:lncRNA from 1 species